GGUGGUGUAGCCAAGCGGCUAAGGCAGAGGUCUGCAAAACCUUCAUUCACGGGUUCGAUCCCCGUCGCCACCU
rnacentral:tRNA from 1 species